rnacentral:rRNA from 1 species
GACAGAGGGGGCAAGCGUUGCUCGGAAUUACUGGGCGUAAAGGGCGCGUAGGCGGGAUGGCAAGUCGGUCGUGAAAUCCCUCGGCUCAACCGAGGAACGUCGAUCGAUACUGCUGUUCUUGAGGAUUGCAGAGGAGACUGGAAUUCCCGGUGUAGCGGUGGAAUGCGUAGAUAUCGGGAGGAACACCAGUGGCGAAGGCGGUUGCCUGGAGCUUUGCUGACGCUGAGGCGCGAAAGCGUGGGGAGCGAUCCGG